UAUCAAGCCUAGGUUCUGUAACUGUGUUUCCCACCUUCCCUGCUCUCCUUAAAUUGCUGUGGAUGUUGUCCCCGCUCAGGAGUAGGCACAUCAAUAUUUCUUACCUUACAAUUGUAUUUACAGAUAAUGUAAAACAUAUGUGAUGUCUCUGUAAUGCAUUCUUGUUGAUUAAUUAAACAUUUCUUUCCCAUGACAGAUUGUCUGCUUUCUGUUCUUAUCUUUAAAAUUGUCAAAGGUUCUACCAAGGUGCCCAGUGGAGAUAAAAACCUUGAGGUGGAGAGAAGUCUAAUCCAGUGGUCUUGUUACUAUUGCUACCUAUGAAUGUCUGUGGUACAUCAUGGUAAGAGAAAUCAACAUCUUAAUUCUUCAAAGAUUUACUGAAGUCUUGUAACAUGAGUUACUUUCAGCAGACUUGAGAUAUUCAUUGCUCUAAACGUAACCCUGGAUGAUAAGAAUAUGGAAUUACCAUGGAACACAAAGAAAAACAUGAAAUUCAAAACUCUUUCUCUGCACAAAGAAAAGCUUGAGUACAGAGAUACAAUAACAGAGCUGAUGUUGCUGAAACAGACAGAGGAAAGGAUGCAGGCUGAAAGAAGAUUUUUGGCUCUCAGGCUAAAGAGCCUGCUGACCAUAUCACUGACUGGCAAAAGAAGACAGAACAAAGUGAAAUACAAGCCUUGGAAAAGGGAGGCCCAUUUUUUGCAGCUAUUUACCUCUAGAAAUAAGUACUGAUAGACCCUCUUCAGCCUCUGCUCUCAGCUCAAACUGAAUGGAAAGCUACUUGGUCUAGCUGCCAGAGAGGAAAUAAGCCAUUCUUAGUUCUAAGAAAGCCUCAAGAAUGAGAAGAAAGGAAACAAACCCUACGGAAAGCAGUGCUGCAAAGAAAAUAGAGUCAACGCAAACUAAAAAUGAGUGGGAAUUCCUCUUUUCCAGCAGUUCAGUUUGUUGAUCUCUGUAUUUAUGAAAAGCAACAAUGUCAUAAGUUCUUUUCCUCCAUGUGGAAAGGUCAUUCAUCUUGCACAAAAUAAACAGCAUCGGUACUAAUUUCAGAAUGGAAAGCGUAGUUACUAUAUGCAUGCAAUAACCAUUAGGCACUGGGCGCUACAUCUGUAACCUGAGAAACACACCUGGACUUUCAGAGGGAACAUUAAUCAACCCAUGACAAUUCCCACUUCUUUCCUCCAGAAGAACUGGGUUCCAGUCUUCCUCGGCCCACCGCAGAGCUGUGCAGGAAGGACUACAUUUUCAAGUCUCACUAGAAAUGUACCACCUCUGCAAAUGCAGCAAAGCUUCCCACAUACACUGUGAGCUGAAUUAUCACCUCAGAACUGACUAGAAGCACAACUCCCAACUAGAUAUUUAUAACCAAGAACUUCGGUGUGGAAAUCAAAGUGAUGUCAAUUAAAUUACCCUGGUAUUUAAUAUUAAUAGUUUAAUCAAAC